rnacentral:rRNA from 1 species
CAGUAGCCGCGGUAAUACGUAGGGUCCGAGCGUUGUCCGGAAUUAUUGGGCGUAAAGGGCUCGUAGGCGGUUUGUUGCGUCGGGAGUGAAAACCUACAGCUUAACUGUGGGCUUGCUUUCGAUACGGGCAGACUUGAGGCAUUCAGGGGAGAACGGAAUUCCUGGUGUAGCGGUGAAAUGCGCAGAUAUCAGGAGGAACACCGGUGGCGAAGGCGGUUCUCUGGGAAUGUUCUGACGCUGAGGAGCGAAAGUGUGGGGAGCGAACAGGAUUAGAUACCCCUGUAGUCCCUGUCUCUUAUAC